GUACCUAUUCCACCGUCAAUCCUGCGCCCUCUAUGAUAUGAUUUUGGUUUAAAUAACCGCAAAAUUCUUAAAAUCAAGUGUCAAGAAAUGGCGGAAAUUAGAAUGCAAAAUCGUCACAUACCUUAUCCCCGUGUAUUGAAAGUUCGUCUGUCUCAUGUGUUUGCUCUAAUAGCACUCGCAUCUGUUCUCCCACGUUCAGCAGCUCAAUUGUAUAUAAACCUUGACGGUUUCCAAGGAGCGCGCCAAUUUUCCCCGUGGGAAUGCGUCUGUCCAGAGUGUCCAUCCAACUCCGACGAUGUCCCUUCCAACACGAAUGACCUCCCGACCGACCCAUCCGAAUCCCAGGCCAAUUAUCUGGCCGACGGCGAGCACCCUCCACUGAACACUUACACAGCACCUGCGAUGGGGCCUCCGGAGCUGACUGCAGACAUCGACGAAAACGCCAGACAGAGGAACAGCUCGCUUCUCUGCGAGUGCAAUUUCAGGCCGAUUGAGGUUUUGUACCUCCUGGCUGACAAGGCCAGAGGCAUGAAAAGGUCACCGAAAGGAUUCCAAAAUGACCUCAAUACCCUCGUGUCUACGUCGGGUGCCUCGGAGGCUGAUGAUAUGAAUAAACCCGUCUCGCCGAGCAGACCCAGAGGUAAUCAGGGAAGUGCCGAAGAUCAGCCCGGUCAGAAUGCCGAUGAUGGAAACGGUCAGGCCCAAUCGAAUCCUACUCCAGCGCCGACAGAUCCUGCAGAGAAGGAACGGCAGCGGCAAUUGGCGCGGGCGUACAACGUGACCCCGCACUGCAACGGGCCCAACUCGGUGACCCAACCCGGCUGAAGAUGAUGUUCCCCGACAAGGCAGACAUGGGCCAGCGGAAAGAUCCCUCCAGCAAGCCCGCCAUGGUCCACGUCAAAACCGAACCGGUUCGACCCGCACAACAGCAAACCCCUACUACUACUACCCCCGCUCCGAAGAAACCACUAGCCAUCCCUGCCCUUGUCACCAAACCGGAGUUCGGCGGCCUCAUCCCUCAGACAGGACUUCCGGCGGAAACCAAGAAAAAAAUAAUCGCUGUACAUUUGGCAACCAUGCCGCAUGACCGAAGAGUCCCGUUCCCUGUGGUGGUAUCAUCCUUAAGUUGAGGAUGGAGAAGAGCCUCGUGCCGGACAGCAAGAGGGCCAAGUUCCUUAAGUAUAAUGACGUCAUCGAUAAUAAUGGACAGCUGAAGGGGGAUCUCCAGACAUUGCAUGAUCAUGUGAUUGAUGGGGCUUUCCUUCAGAUGAUCCCGUGGCAGAUAUUCGGACCAUGGUGAUGUGUCAAAAUAAACUGCCGAUUGGGACAUAUGGAUUACAUUUUGCAAUGAGGAAUCCUUGGCCCAUUUUAGAAACAACAUAUCGACGGUGAAACUACCAAACCACGUAUCUCGGUUUGCGACGUCGCAGACUUCCUGUCAUACUUUAUUUUUAAAUGAAAAACUACUUAACGUCCAGUCUUGAAAAUUUCUGUGAUUUUUCCUCUUUGUGCGGAGAAAAUUCUGUGAAAAUUUCAAGGAAUGAUAUUGAUUUGGUCUACUUCAAAAAAAUAAAAUGUGAGCGUAGAUUUUUAAACACCGCAAACGAGAUACGUGGUUUGGUAGUUUCACCGUCGAUAUAUGCCAUUGAUUCCCCUAUGCAGAAAGGUGCUUUCCUGCAAGAGCCAGAGAUAGUGGUUCCUUAUUGCAAAAUGUAAUCAAUGUAAUGAUUUCAUACCUGACGCUUUUGGCGCAUUAAAACGAAACUCUACCUCACAUUGACAAGUGAAUUAAAGCCGUUGUCUUCCAUUUACAAAUUCUGAGUAAUCCAUUCAGUUGAAUUUAAUACCAAAUUGACUUCAAUGUAAUUCCUUCGCUCUCAAAAUCAAACAUAGCUCUAAAUAAUGCACUUAAUGGACUUGCAUUUUUUUUAAAGCACUGAAGGUACCUAUUGAAUUCUUUUGACAGAAUGAUCAAUAUGCAAAGGUCUUCGAAGUUUCACCGUUUGUUUAGGAAAUAUGCGUGUUCAGCCCCAUACGUCACACAUUUUAUAUAAAUUAAAAAAUAGGUGAAACCCCGCAUUUGAUCAUUUUUUUUUUGAUUAAAAUGGUAGUUUGUAAUGAAACUUUAUUUUUUACUGCAAUUAACGUUGUACUAUAUUUGUUAUGUAUGAAUAACGUAAAACAUUUUUUCAUAUGAGAUACUGUGAUAUUUAUUCUAUCAAUAAACUCUAUUUUUAAUCUGCAAAAUUUAGUAAUAUUUAGUGCGCCUAUUCAUUCAUUAUUAUUUAUGCCCUACCUAUUAGAAAUUGCCAACUGUCAAAAAUUAACAUUUUGUUCGCUGAUGGCGAUCUCUAUCUUCCAAGGGUAUUGGCUCUCUGACGAUUUGCCUUCCAUACCUUCCAAGUUUAAAUAAGUAAAUUGGUCGGGACUUUGUGUAACGAAACACUCCCGAAGUGUUGA
rnacentral:lncRNA from 1 species